GACUAAUUGUUUAUAGGAUAGCUCAGUUGGUAGAGCAUGAGAUUCUUAAACGCAGGAUCGUGGGUGCAAGACUCACAUUGGGCA